rnacentral:lncRNA from 1 species
AUAAUGCAAAGUAUCUCAACAAAGCAAAAGCUUUACUUCUGUGUACAAGAGGGAAUGUAGCCAUGCAUAAAGAAGCAGGCAAGCAUACCCAGCUUGGCUCUCACUGGGCUAUUAUUCCUAAGGCCAAGGGGUUCUGUGCCUUACUCUGAGUGGUCUCACCUUGGUCCCACACUCAUAUGCAGAUGGAUAACUCAGAGUGAAGGAGCUGAAAAGCAAAGUAUAGCUUUUGAGAACAGGAUGUGACCUUGAGUUUAAGAAAUGUUGCCACUAGAGGAUUUGAAUUUCUGCCAAGUGGUGUCUUUAUAUUUUUUUAAAAGGGGGUUUAUCUCAUUUAACCCUUUGACAGAAACACUGUACUUUCUGUUUACAUUUAUAACUCUUCCCAGAUUCUCUAGGCUUCUCCUCUGCUUGUUCAACCUGAUCUCCCUAAAUUCUGUGUGGAGCCUAUAUCUCAGGCCAUCCACCCUAGGGCUAAGGCUUGUAUUGCUGAGCUGUCCUGGGUUGCCAGUGUUCUCUCCCAAGCGUUGACUUCCCCUUCCCACUUUCUUAAUGGUGUCUUUUGAUGCGAAGAAGCUUUUAAUUUUGAGGAAGCUCAAAUUGUCAAUGUAUUCUCUCUUCCGGUUAUUGCUUUUUUCUUUUUCUCCUGAGUGAGGCCUUUGCCUGCUUCCAAACUGCAAUUGCUUCCUUUAGUCUUCCUUUAAAAGCUUUAUGGACAUAGAUUUUUUUUUAACAUGGAAAACUAUCAUCUCAAUUAAUUUUGUGAAAGGGGAGUUGAUUUUCUUUUCUAAAUGGAUGUCUGGUCUGAGCAUUGCUUCUGC